AGAGUUUGAUCAUGGCUCAGGACGAACGCUGGCGGCGUGCCUAACACAUGCAAGUCAAGGGUAGCAAUACCCUGGCGCACGGGUGAGUAACGCGUAGGUAAUCUGCCUCUAUCUCUGUGAUAACUCUGGGAAACCGGUGAUAAACACAGAUGAGGUGCUUCGGCAUCAAAAGCUUGCUGGAUAGAGAUGAGCCUGCGUCUGAUUAGCUAGUUGGUGGGGUAAAAGCCUACCAAGGCUGCGAUCAGUAGCUGGUCUGAGAGGACGAUCAGCCACACUGGAACUGAGACACGGUCCAGACUCCUACGGGAGGCAGCAGUGAGGAAUUUUGGUCAAUGGGGGAAACCCUGAACCAGCGACGCCGCGUGUGGGAUGAAGGGGCUUUGCCCUGUAAACCACUGUCGGAAGGGAAGAAAAGUCCCCUUGGGGGACUGGGACUGUACCUUAAAAGGAAGGAUCGGCUAACUACGUGCCAGCAGCCGCGGUAAUACGUAGGAUCCAAGCGUUGUCCGGAUUUACUGGGUGUAAAGGGUGCGCAGGCGGGCUUGUGCGUCAGAGGUUAAAUACAUCGGCUCAACCGAUGAGCUGCCUUUGAUACGGCAAGUCUUGAGUGCGAGAGAGGAUGGUGGAAUUCCUGGUGUAGCGGUGAAAUGCGUAGAUAUCAGGAGGAACACCAGUGGCGAAGGCGGCCAUCUGGCUCGCAACUGACGCUCAGGCACGAAAGCGUGGGGAGCAAACAGGAUUAGAUACCCUGGUAGUCCACGCCUUAAACGAUGUAUGCUUGGUGUUGGAGGAUAUCACCUUCAGUGCCGGAGGUAACCCGUUAAGCAUACCACCUGGGGAGUACGAUCGCAAGGUUGAAACUCAAAUGAAUUGACGG
rnacentral:rRNA from 1 species